CAUGGAAGGCGUCUUCUAUGUACAUAGUCCACCCUGACUCACAACUGUUGUAUUCCUCCUCCUCCUCAGAGACUCCAUGGUUCCUUGGAGACUCCAUGGCUUUGAGCAACGCAAAGAAUAACACAAAAGCAAGGAAAAGCAGGAGCCUAUAAGAAGCCUCAUAUAAUUGAAGAGAAGGAGUAAGUUUCACCACAUGGCAACCCUUAGAACCAUUGUUUUCACUCCCUUGAAGCACUACCAGACAAAGCCAACUGCAGAUAUAUAUAUAUCAAGGAAGUUAAAAAAAAACAAUUCUGAAAGGGGGUGGUACUACAGUGGGCCUCGUGAACUUGGAGAGAUGUGUGUGUGAAGAUUUAUUCGAGUUUGUACAUAUCGUUAAUGUCUGAAGAAAACGGAGUUGGACUCAUUGGAUUUUUUUUCUUUUCAUGUGAGACUGUGUAAUGUCAUUGUACGUCAUUUAUUAUUGUCACUGAUUCAUUUAUUUGUAGGUUUAAAUAUGGAAAAGUCACAGAUAUUGAAAGCAUCAUCAUCAGAGAUUCACUGGCUUCAAGUAAUUGAUAACUUUGGUUGGCAAGUCAGUGAGAAAAGGGACGGGACUUUGUGUUGUUUGCCUCAUCUAUUGUUUUCCUAUACUUUGGUUGUUUGUUUACUAUACCUUUAA